rnacentral:rRNA from 1 species
UACAGAGGUCUCAAGCGUUGUUCGGAUUCAUUGGGCGUAAAGGGUGCGUAGGUGGCGCCGUAAGUCGGGUGUGAAAUUUCGGAGCUUAACUCCGAAACUGCAUUCGAUACUGCGGUGCUUGAGGACUGGAGAGGAGACUGGAAUUUACGGUGUAGCAGUGAAAUGCGUAGAGAUCGUAAGGAAGACCAGUGGCGAAGGCGGGUCUCUGGACAGUUCCUGACGCUGAGGCACGAAGGCCAGGGGGAGCAAACGGG